CCGAGUUUUAUGAUUCCUGGACCAUCCGUAAUCCCAGGAUAAUGUGUGUCUCCUACUAGUUACUACUAUGGCCCUUCAGGGCCAACUACCAACAUGGCUUCCCAAACUUACCCGCAACAAACUCUGCCUCUACUGAACUACCAACUGCCUGCUUAUGCUCCCCCUAAUUAUGAGACUCAAACCUUCGUACCACCUCCGGCCCCUUCGUACCCAGUACCCAGUUUUAUGAAUCCUGGACCAUCCGUAAUCCCAGGAUAAUGUGUGUCUCCUACUAGUUACUACUAUGGCCCUUCAGGGCCAACUACCAACAUGGCCUCCCAAACUUACCCGCAACAAACUCUUCCUCUACUGAACUACCAACUGCCUGCUUAUGCUCCCCCUAACUAUGAGACUCAAACCUUCGUACCACCUCCGGCCCCUUCGUACCCAGUACCCAGUUUUAUGAUUCCUGGACCAUCCGUAAUCCCAGGAUCAUGUGUGUCUCCUACUAGUUACUACUAUGGCCCUUGAGGGCCAACUACCAACAUGGCCUCCCAAACUUACCCGCAACAAACUCUUCCUCUACUGGUAAGUUAAUACUUUGAAUCAAGAAUGUGUACACCUUUUAAUUUUCUAAAAAUAUCAGUGUAAAUAAUUUUUCAUUGCACUGU